CUCUCUCUCUCUCUCUCUCUCUCACUCUCACACACACACACAUCCAGAUAGCUGUUUCUUUUGUUGUAUGUAUGGCACACACAUGUUAAUCUCUUCGGUGAACUAGCUCAAAAACUCUGCAUUUGGUUGUAUUGACGACUGUUUAACCUAAAUCCAUAACCCUAUAGUGCGUGUAUAUAUCCACAUAUAUAUAUAUAUAUAGCUAAGAUAUCAUGUACGGCUCUUUCUAGAAGAUAUCUCAUCUGUGCUAUAUAAUUGUAAUCUCAUUUUUGUUUUGAUGUAUAUGUUUCUUAUUGCUGCAUGUAAUGUUUGUAUCAUGCAUAUUUUAAAAUCCCACUUCAAUAACUAUCGAUUUUUUAUAUAUUCAUUAUUUCCUGUAGUGGAGUAUAAAAUGCUAUUGCCCUAUGCAUUUGUCUCGAUGGUGCUAAAUGGAUGCAAGUCAUUAAUAUUUUGAAAUCCCACAAAUCCACUUCCACAAUUCUGGCCCCAAUUCGACACCCUACAAUCCACUAUAUACCUUGACCUUCCACCCCACCAAACGAGCAGCCACCUUAAUUAGUUUAAUUUUUCUCCACAGGAAAUAACCUAAAAAAUAUUCUCUAAUCAUUUUUCUUUAAUUUGAUUGUAAACCUUAGUGUAGUCAAGUUGGUUAGAAUAAAUGUAUGUUACCUCCUUCACAUUUAAGAUUGAAUCUCUUUCUAUAAUUUAGAGUGAAUUAAAAUAUCGCUUUGUAAAACAAAAAUGAAUUUGGUUCGAUGGAUCCGACAUGGGACCAUAUUUGGUGUUCUUUAUUCAAGUACUUUUGCCCCUUUUUUAGGUAAGUGGUAGCAGCUAGCCCUGCUAAAAAGGCAAAAGACCGCUACAAACUCUUUAGUUUUGCCCACAUUUUUUCAACAUCUAAACGUGCUUUCGGGUUUCACGGUGAAAGGACAUCUGCUUUUAUGCUAGCUAGCUCUAUCUUCUUUCUAAUGGUAUGGAUAUUAAUUAUAUGCAUGUUUGAGAAGUAGCAGAGAGCUAAGCGAUGUUGGUGAGGUUCAAUCCGAAGACAGAUUUACACAUCCCUGCCCGCGUAAAUUGAUCUCAGAUUGAGCCGCGCCAAUAUCACUUUCUUAAUUAUUUGUUGCUUAUUCAUAACUGCUUUUCCUCUCUAACCUCAUCAUGUUUUUAUUAACUAAUUUAGGGUCUUUGAGCUAGCUGCCUGGACUAAUUUAUGUGACUUGUUGCAUGAUAUCGCAUGGUUUACUGUUAAUUUCUACCGAAUGUAUACUUCUGUUAGUUAGUUUUGUCUUUAUUUAUCAACAGAAGAAGAGUGGAAAUUCAAACUUGGGAUAAGCAGGAGAGCUAAUCGACCGGUGAUCUCCUUCUCGAUCUAGAGAGAUCGGUCACAGAUAUGCACUCUUCUUCCCUCUCUCUUGUGAUUGUUGGUUUAUGGUUCGAAUAUCUGGUUUUACUUUUGAUCGAUCGACAUAGUACUGUACUUUAAACGUCAACUGUAGUACGUAUUCCUUUUUCAUGUAUACUUAGUGACAGUUUAUACUAUCAUACUCCUUUUAUGUACAUGUUCGUAACUUGCAUUCUUUGAACAAAAAUUAACUAGUCAUAUAUAGAAUAGAAGUCAAAUUUUUUAGAGUUCAACAAGUGUAUACUGUUAAGAACAAAUCCCACAUUGAUGGGAGGAGGAAUCUUGUAUGAGCUUAUAAGUAAGUUGAGCUACUCCCCAUAUUAUCAAUUGGUUUUAUGGUAGAACGUCAUCUUCUUGAUGGUAUCAGAGCAGGUGGUCCCAUAUGUGAAGCUCAACGAUCACAGUGUUCCACGUCACUCCACUUGUGUUGUUCAUGUGUUAGGCUUACAAAUUCGCCACACGUAAGGGGCUUGAGAAUGAAUCCCACAUAGAUAGGAGGGACAUUGCAUGGACUUAUAAGUAAUUGGCUAUUCCCCAUAUUACUAAUUGGUUUUACGGUGGAACCUUAACUUUCUUCGAAAACUUCCCAUUGUAACUAAUAAUAUCAUAUGUAGAACAAUUCCAUUUUUUUUAAGACACGGGAGAGCUACGGAAUCAUCAAAAUUAAAUGUAAAAACAACAUGAAGAACUUUUAUUUUUCAAAUCCUAUGUAUAUUUCUUGAGCAUUGUAAGUCAAUAUAACCAAUUUUCCUCCCAAACUAAGGCCAACAUAUCACUUGUUAAAAUUUCUCUUUAUUGACUUCUCCUUAAAAGCACAAAACACUGAGUGAUUAAAUCCUAAUGUUAAAAAUAUUUUGUGACCUCAAAUAAGUUACCCAUUUUUUUCCCUUCUUAUGGCUACGUUAGGUCCGGAUGAGAUAAAGCAAGUUAAAUCCUAUAUAUAAGUGGAAACUUUGCCUUCAAUGGAGAGAUAAUUAAGGAAUGAGGCUAAUUAAUUUGUUUGUGGCAACCAUUCAAAUUAAGAAUGAAACGUAAUCUUAGCAUCUUUAAAAAAAAAAAAAAAAAAAAAAAACAUGUAAAAGAAAUGAAGAAACUGUUGAUUUUUGAUUUAUUGAGUUGAGUUUUUCUUCUGUUUUUUGACGUUUCUGUUUCUCUUUAUACGCGUUGACAUUAAUCUAACAAUUUUCUUUCUGUAUUUUUGUUAUUUGACCAACCAUUUUAGUUAGAGCCACAUUUGCAACCACCCCCACCCAUAUUUCCUUUGUUUUCCUUUUUGGUGUUUGUGGUUUAGAUUAUUACUUACGGCCCAGAAAUAUAGCCGAGCAUGUAGGGUUUAGAAAUUGAUGGAUGUACCACCUAUUAAUUUGCGUACUUUAUUCAUGGUUAUGAAAUAUUCAGGCACCUAAAAUCUUGUGUUUCCAGUCAGAGCAGUUAAUUUGACUCGUUGAAAACACUUUCGGUUUCUGAUAUAUUUCUAUUAGCUAACUCCAUCAAACACUCCCAACAAACUUUAUUUUGUAAUUAAAAUUUAGGGUACCUCUCGUUGAGGCUGAGGAUUUAGUUUCUUGAGUUUGGUUUGUGUGCAUGCGCAUGAAAAUGGACGUGGGUAUUUGUGAAAAAGAGUUGGCGACGAAUGCCACCGCAUGCGCAGCCUGUUUCCGGCAUCACUAUCUCCACGGAGACUUCUCAACGGCAGCGGUCGGAAGAACCAUGCUUACCGAAAGCUGCCCCAGGAGCCGCUUAAGCUCUUCGUCAUCAAAUUGGAUGGCUCUAGCUUUGAGAUUCAAGUUUCGAUGACAGCCACGGUGGCCGAACUGAAAGAGGCAGUGAAGGAUGUUUUCAAUCAGUCGCCGAUAGAUGAAAUGAUUUCAUGGUCACAUGUGUGGGGUAAUUUUUGCUUAUGCUAUAAAGGUCAGAAGCUACUCGAUUACAAAGCAUUAAUCCGACUUUUUGGAGUCAAAGAUGGCGAUAAGGUUGCCUAGCUAUAUAUUAUUGAUAUGGAUACCUUUAAACUUCUGCGCUAAAUUUUGAGAAAUGAAAAAUUAGUAUCCGGUUUCUAGUUACUAAUAUUUAUUGAUUGAAAUCUUAU